rnacentral:lncRNA from 1 species
UUUUGUUUGUGCAAACAUGAUUGAAGAGAUGAGAGGAGAAUGUACAAGUUUAUUUACAUUUUUGUGUUUGGAUGGAUAAACCCAUUGCCUACGUACCAUCUUAUAAAAAGAUUAGGAUCAAAACCUCAUAGUUCGGGAUAAAAAUCUCAAAAUGAGUUGGUGAGUUGAUUGGUCCAAAAGCCUUAAGGUCUUUUGUUAUCUAAGGGAGAAAGCUCAACCAAACCACAAAUCCACCAUGUGAGGAUAACUUCAACAUGCUAG